rnacentral:lncRNA from 1 species
AUGGAUUUAAAGCAGUAGGGGAGACCGGGGCUAGUUGUUACAAUUUCAGUUUAGAAAUUUUUUUAAUAUUUUUCUAUUACUCCUAAAGCAUUGAAAUUUUCAGUAGUGAACAAACACAUCUUUGGCCACUUUAUAUAUUUUUUUGAUUUGAAUAACUGCAUAUUUUGAAUUUAAAAAUUUUGAAUAUUUGAAGCUCGGACAAAUGUAACAUCUUGCCCCGUCGUGGGGCAAGAUGUUACAGAGUCGGGGCACGUCCUUACACAAAAGUUUUUCGGAAAACUCAGAAAUUUAUUCAGUACGUUUUUACAAAAUCACUUAUCCUAGAUUACAAUCAGUUAAAAUUAGUUAUCUUCAUUAUCAGAAAAAGAGAAAUCUGAUGAAUAGUGUAUGUAAAUAUAAAAUCCACAGUAUUCAUGAGACCAUUUCGUACAGACUGUACAUGAAUCAAAUUUUGCCCUCUUUUACUUUU